rnacentral:tRNA from 1 species
AGCCCGGUGGUGUAGCGGCCUAGCAUAGCAUGGACAACCUGCUGACGGGAGUUCGAAUCUCCCCCGGGCUACCA